AUGAAUACAUGUUCGUACAUGCACAUUCCAGUGCAGAAUGCAAGCUCCAUAAAGGCGUGGCUGAAUGAGUUUGGUGUGGCCUUAAACUCAGCCCCAUCAUACAGCUUUAACAUGAACUAGAAGAGCGAUUGUGAGAAAGAAAUGUAAUGGCUCAUAAGUACUUUAAAUACAUCUUUAAUACCUUUUAACGUUUUUAUUGUAUCGAGUCUGGAAAAGACUCAAUACAAUAACAGAUGAUAACGUGUGACAGAUGAUAACAGCAGAUGCGAUUUGAAAUCCAUAUGCUAGACUAAACUAAACUAACUAAACUAAACAUAAGACUAAACCAGACAGUAUUCGUAGUGUCAGAUUUUCUUUCCGUAGAACCCAAAUGAGCGCUCCAGGACCGGAGCAGGUGGAGAAGCGAUACGAUCCACUAGAUUCUACCCUAAAGUUCGUCAACAGGCCAGAUGAUCUGAAUCCACUGUGUGAUGACUCUCUCAGAGCAGAGAUGUCCUGUGGCCACGCUGUCACUCCUGAAUCUCUACACGAUGGUGUCGUACCUUGCUGGAUCAGGGCAAUUACAAAUUCAGAUGUCCGGCUUUAGUGGAGGGAACCAAGCAGUGUAAUAAAGAGUGGUCGUACCAGGAGGUGCGCAGACUGGCUGAUCUGACUGUGGAGGAAAUGCAGCACUUUGAAGAGAACAUGGCCCGUCUGGCUCUUGCAGACCACUGUGAGGUUCAGGAAUGUCCACAGUGCAAAACAAGUGUGGAGAGGAUGGAUCUGUCUAACCUGUGUGUAAAGUGUGUCGUAUGCACAGCUGUUCAAAAGAAGAAAUUCUACUUCUGCUGGCAGUGUCUGAAACCAUGGAAGGGUUCAGGCCCUCGAUCUGACCGCUGCGACAACGACGGCUGUGAGAACAAGGACCUGCAACUUCUGCAGACAUGUAAAACCAUUGAUCUGCCUGAAGUAAAGGGCGUCACCAGCUGCCCCGCCAUCAGACUCUGUCCUACAUGUGGCCUGAGGGUGGAGCAUAACAGAAAACACUGCAAAAAUAUCAAAUGUCCUCGCUGCAAAAUGGAGUUCUGUUUUGUCUGCCUGAAACUAAAGCGUGAAUGUUCCAGUUCACCAUAUGAAAUCUGCCCCAGUGGGGUCGCGCCAAGGCAGACCUCCAUCCCUGUGUGGAGGAAAACAUGAAAACAAGAAUGAAGUGUAUGUGUAACUCGGGUUCUUUCGUCUUUUGGUUUCUCUGUCUUCCUUUUUCAUUAUUGGGCUCUACUGGGCUAGCUUUGGAUGAGCUUGCUUAAAAAAGAAAGCUCUAAAGGUCAACUUGUCUUUGAAUACAGUUUUUAACCAUCAAUAUUUUUGGUAACCUUUCUUUAGCUGAGACAAAAGAUGGAUUUUCUUGAUACUGUGGGGUCUGCAGAUAUCUGACAUUUUCAUGGUGAUUAAAGUUGCUGUAAGACCAAGAGUCUGACAGACACCAUCUCAAC